AUUGAACGCUGGCGGCAGGCCUAACACAUGCAAGUCGAACGGUAACAGGAAUCAGCUUGCUGAUUCGCUGACGAGUGGCGGACGGGUGAGUAAUGUCUGGGAAACUGCCUGAUGGAGGGGGAUAACUACUGGAAACGGUAGCUAAUACCGCAUAACGUCGCAAGACCAAAGAGGGGGACCUUCGGGCCUCUUGCCAUCGGAUGUGCCCAGAUGGGAUUAGCUAGUAGGUGGGGUAACGGCUCACCUAGGCGACGAUCCCUAGCUGGUCUGAGAGGAUGACCAGCCACACUGGAACUGAGACACGGUCCAGACUCCUACGGGAGGCAGCAGUGGGGAAUAUUGCACAAUGGGCGCAAGCCUGAUGCAGCCAUGCCGCGUGUAUGAAGAAGGCCUUCGGGUUGUAAAGUACUUUCAGCGAGGAGGAAGGUGUUGUGGUUAGUAACCGCAGCAAUUGACGUUACUCGCAGAAGAAGCACCGGCUAACUCCGUGCCAGCCGCCGCAGUAAAAC
rnacentral:rRNA from 1 species